AUUGGAGGAUUCAAAAAGUGUGGGUUUCAACUUCUCUCUGUACAGCAUAAAUUUCUUCAUCGUUGCCUAUCUCACUCACUUCUGGAGUGUGCCUCUUUGACAUCAUUUGACGUUUUUGGCAGUUCUCCUCGCCGACAAUGUUUAUAUGUUUGUCCACGAUUGAGUUUCUUAGGCACCGUUGCUAUCGAUGUGGGUUGUAGGUCACAAUCUUUUAGCAGAUCCCUAACACCUUCAAAGCUUGAGAGUUUCAUUGCCGGUGGUGGAUUUUGAUGCUCCCUUGUCGCCGGUUCGCCACUCGCCUCCUGUGGGUUUCACCGUUGCGUUGCUGCAUGCCUAUGUUAUGUGCUGUUCUUAGUCAUUUGAGCUUGGUUGCCCUGUCAUUGCUUGCUUUCCAAUUAUUAUCUUGAAUUAGGACCCUAUUUUGGGGAUUCCCAUGGUGUCCCCUAUUUGUCUCUAAUUUGGACUUCAAUGAUUAUGAUCUUGCUUUUUACUUGAACAAUUUUGAUUUCAGCUCCCAACAGGUUUAUUUGGCUAUUUGUGGAUUUGCACGGCGAGUUUUGAUUUCUCUAUGAACAUCAUCGCUUUGUAGCUUGUGGCAUUGG